rnacentral:rRNA from 1 species
AGCGAACGCUGGCGGCAGGCUUAACACAUGCAAGUCGAGCGGGCACCUUCGGGUGUCAGCGGCAGACGGGUGAGUAACACGUGGGAACGUACCCUUCGGUUCGGAAUAACGCUGGGAAACUAGCGCUAAUACCGGAUACGCCCUUAUGGGGAAAGGUUUACUGCCGCAGGAUCGGCCCGCGUCUGAUUAGCUAGUUGGUGGGGUAACGGCCUACCAAGGCGACGAUCAGUAGCUGGUCUGAGAGGAUGAUCAGCCACACUGGGACUGAGACACGGCCCAGACUCCUACGGGAGGCAGCAGUGGGGAAUAUUGGACAAUGGGCGCAAGCCUGAUCCAGCCAUGCCGCGUGAGUGAUGAAGGCCUUAGGGUUGUAAAGCUCUGUUGUCCGGGACGAUAAUGACGGUACCGGAAGAAUAAGCCCCGGCUAACUUCGUG